AGAUUGAACGCUGGCGGCAGGCCUAACACAUGCAAGUCGAGCGGAAACGAGUUAUCUGAACCUUCGGGGAACGAUAACGGCGUCGAGCGGCGGACGGGUGAGUAAUGCCUAGGAAAUUGCCCUGAUGUGGGGGAUAACCAUUGGAAACGAUGGCUAAUACCGCAUAAUGCCUACGGGCCAAAGAGGGGGACCUUCGGGCCUCUCGCGUCAGGAUAUGCCUAGGUGGGAUUAGCUAGUUGGUGAGGUAAGGGCUCACCAAGGCGACGAUCCCUAGCUGGUCUGAGAGGAUGAUCAGCCACACUGGAACUGAGACACGGUCCAGACUCCUACGGGAGGCAGCAGUGGGGAAUAUUGCACAAUGGGCGCAAGCCUGAUGCAGCCAUGCCGCGUGUGUGAAGAAGGCCUUCGGGUUGUAAAGCACUUUCAGUCGUGAGGAAGGUAGUGUAGUUAAUAGCUGCAUUAUUUGACGUUAGCGACAGAAGAAGCACCGGGUUUC
rnacentral:rRNA from 1 species